GGUUAAGCGACUAAGCGUACACGGUGGAUGCCCUGGCAGUCAGAGGCGAUGAAGGGCGUGCUAAUCUGCGAUAAGCGCCGGUAAGGUGAUAUGAACCGUUAUAACCGGCGAUACCCGAAUGGGGAAACCCAGUGUGACUCGUCACACUAUCAUUAACUGAAUCCAUAGGUUAAUGAGGCGAACCGGGGGAACUGAAACAUCUAAGUACCCCGAGGAAAAGAAAUCAACCGAGAUUCCCCCAGUAGCGGCGAGCGAACGGGGAGGAGCCCAGAGCCUGAAUCAGCAUGUGUGUUAGUGGAAGCGUCUGGAAAGGCGCGCGAUACAGGGUGACAGCCCCGUACACAAAAGCGCAUGUGCUGUGAGCUCGAUGAGUAGGGCGGGACACGUGGUAUCCUGUCUGAAUAUGGGGGGACCAUCCUCCAAGGCUAAAUACUCCUGACUGACCGAUAGUGAACCAGUACCGUGAGGGAAAGGCGAAAAGAACCCCGGCGAGGGGAGUGAAAAAGAACCUGAAACCGUGUACGUACAAGCAGUGGGAGCACCCUUUGGGUGUGACUGCGUACCUUUUGUAUAAUGGGUCAGCGACUUAUAUUCUGUAGCAAGGUUAACCGAAUAGGGGAGCCGGAGGGAAACCGAGUCUUAAUUGGGCGUUAAGUUGCAGGGUAUAGACCCGAAACCCGGUGAUCUAGCCAUGGGCAGGUUGAAGGUUGGGUAACACUAACUGGAGGACCGAACCGACUAAUGUUGAAAAAUUAGCGGAUGACCUGUGGCUGGGGGUGAAAGGCCAAUCAAACCGGGAGAUAGCUGGUUCUCCCCGAAAGCUAUUUAGGUAGCGCCUCGUGAAUUCAUCUCCGGGGGUAGAGCACUGUUUCGGCUAGGGGGCCAUCCCGGCUUACCAACCCGAUGCAAACUGCGAAUACCGGAGAAUGUUAUCACGGGAGACACACGGCGGGUGCUAACGUCCGUCGUGAAGAGGGAAACAACCCAGACCGCCAGCUAAGGUCCCAAAGUCAUGGUUAAGUGGGAAACGAUGUGGGAAGGCCCAGACAGCCAGGAUGUUGGCUUAGAAGCAGCCAUCAUUUAAAGAAAGCGUAAUAGCUCACUGGUCGAGUCGGCCUGCGCGGAAGAUGUAACGGGGCUAAACCAUGCACCGAAGCUGCGGCAGCGACACUGUGUGUUGUUGGGUAGGGGAGCGUUCUGUAAGCCUGUGAAGGUGUGUCGUGAGGCAUGCUGGAGGUAUCAGAAGUGCGAAUGCUGACAUAAGUAACGAUAAAGCGGGUGAAAAGCCCGCUCGCCGGAAGACCAAGGGUUCCUGUCCAACGUUAAUCGGGGCAGGGUGAGUCGACCCCUAAGGCGAGGCCGAAAGGCGUAGUCGAUGGGAAACGGGUUAAUAUUCCCGUACUUGGUGUUACUGCGAAGGGGGGACGGAGAAGGCUAUGUUGGCCGGGCGACGGUUGUCCCGGUUUAAGCGUGUAGGUGUGUGUUCCAGGUAAAUCCGGUUCACUUUAACACUGAGGCGUGACGACGAGGCACUACGGUGCUGAAGCAACAAAUGCCCUGCUUCCAGGAAAAGCCUCUAAGCAUCAGGUAACAUCAAAUCGUACCCCAAACCGACACAGGUGGUCAGGUAGAGAAUACCAAGGCGCUUGAGAGAACUCGGGUGAAGGAACUAGGCAAAAUGGUGCCGUAACUUCGGGAGAAGGCACGCUGACACGUAGGUGAAGUGAUUUACUCAUGGAGCUGAAGUCAGUCGAAGAUACCAGCUGGCUGCAACUGUUUAUUAAAAACACAGCACUGUGCAAACACGAAAGUGGACGUAUACGGUGUGACGCCUGCCCGGUGCCGGAAGGUUAAUUGAUGGGGUCAGCGCAAGCGAAGCUCCUGAUCGAAGCCCCGGUAAACGGCGGCCGUAACUAUAACGGUCCUAAGGUAGCGAAAUUCCUUGUCGGGUAAGUUCCGACCUGCACGAAUGGCGUAAUGAUGGCCAGGCUGUCUCCACCCGAGACUCAGUGAAAUUGAACUCGCUGUGAAGAUGCAGUGUACCCGCGGCAAGACGGAAAGACCCCGUGAACCUUUACUAUAGCUUGACACUGAACAUUGAGCCUUGAUGUGUAGGAUAGGUGGGAGGCUUUGAAGUGUGGACGCCAGUCUGCAUGGAGCCGACCUUGAAAUACCACCCUUUAAUGUUUGAUGUUCUAACGUGGACCCGUUACCCGGGUUGCGGACAGUGUCUGGUGGGUAGUUUGACUGGGGCGGUCUCCUCCUAAAGAGUAACGGAGGAGCACGAAGGUUGGCUAAUCCUGGUCGGACAUCAGGAGGUUAGUGCAAUGGCAUAAGCCAGCUUGACUGCGAGCGUGACGGCGCGAGCAGGUGCGAAAGCAGGUCAUAGUGAUCCGGUGGUUCUGAAUGGAAGGGCCAUCGCUCAACGGAUAAAAGGUACUCCGGGGAUAACAGGCUGAUACCGCCCAAGAGUUCAUAUCGACGGCGGUGUUUGGCACCUCGAUGUCGGCUCAUCACAUCCUGGGGCUGAAGUAGGUCCCAAGGGUAUGGCUGUUCGCCAUUUAAAGUGGUACGCGAGCUGGGUUUAGAACGUCGUGAGACAGUUCGGUCCCUAUCUGCCGUGGGCGCUGGAGAACUGAGGGGGGCUGCUCCUAGUACGAGAGGACCGGAGUGGACGCAUCACUGGUGUUCGGGUUGUCAUGCCAAUGGCACUGCCCGGUAGCUAAAUGCGGAAGAGAUAAGUGCUGAAAGCAUCUAAGCACGAAACUUGCCCCGAGAUGAGUUCUCCCUGAGACUUAGAGUCUCCUGAAGGAACGUUGAAGACGACGACGUUGAUAGGCCGGGUGUGUAAGCGCAGCGAUGCGUUGAGCUAACCGGUACUAAUGAACCGUGAGGCUUAACCUU
rnacentral:rRNA from 2 species